rnacentral:rRNA from 1 species
CAGCAGCCGCGGUAACACGUAGGUGGCAAGCGUUGUCCGGAUUUACUGGGCGUAAAGCGCGCGCAGGCGGAUGGUUAAGUAGGAAGUGAAAGGUUGGAGCUCAACUCCAACAUUGCUCCCUAUACUGGCCAUCUUGAGUCCCGGAGAGGAAAGCGGAACGACACGUGGAGCGGUGAAAUGCGUUGAUAUGUGUCGGAACACCAAUGGCGAAGGCAGCUUUCUGGACGGGUACUGACGCUCAGGCGCGAAAGCCGAGGUAGCGAACAGGAUUAGAUACCCCGGUAGUCCCUGUCUCUUAUAC